UAUUCAAAAAUAAGAAAUGGCUGCGUGUGUCGGAAAAAAAAUAAUUGAUAUCUGAACUUGUUUGUCGAAGAAUUCGCGUAUCUUGCCUUACGUAUCCACAGAUAUCUAGAUACCGUCAUUCACGUAUUCAUUUGCAUUCAUGAUUUCGAGACAUGGAUCAAUUCGGAGGAGAAAUAAAAGCAAAUAACUCGUAAUUUCAUUAAUUAAGAUGAAACGCAGACCGACUUGCCAGCACCCACGACUUGUAAGCUUGUUCAUCGCUCGAGCUUGUUGCUUGGUGCGAUGCAUUAGAUUUAUUUUCUAAUUUGUAUGUCUGUGUGAUUUACGAAGUUCUUGUUUAAUUCACCUUAAGACGAUCUUAUGUAACGUGGUUUUACUACGUGAUAAAACAAGAGAAGUUUUUAUGAUUGGAAAUAAGUUUUUAAGAAACAAUCGUUCGCGUGACGAAUAAGAAUUUGCUUCACGUCAGACCACAGCGACAAUUGCUGCUCGAUUACUAGUUUUACUCAGAAAUGGAACUUUAAUUCUCAAUUAUUGAUUCUCCCAUGGAAUUCAAAGUACGUCAAAUAAAAAAAUUUAGAUAAAAUAUAAAAAAUGGCUUCAAUAAUAACGUGUAUUCUCUGUAGACUUGGGUACUCACAGACCUGAGUGUUCAGAAUUAAGGGAUCUCAGAGUCCUAGGUGCUCAGAAUUAAGGGUUCUCAGAGUUAAGGGCUCUCAAGAGUUAAGGGUUCUCAGAGUCCUAGGUGCUCAGCAUUAAGGGUUCUCAGAUUUAAGGGUUCUCAGCGCCCUGGGUGCUCAGAAUUAAGGGUUUUUAGCGUCCUGGGUGCUCAGAAUUAAGGGUUCUUAAAAUCUUUGAUGCUCAGCGACGUUGGCCUCUAGAGUGUCCAAAUUAAAUUCAUACGAAUCAUGGAUAAACAUUAAGUGUAAUGUUAUGAAGGGAAUUAUUAAUGACUAGCAACCUCCAGGAAUUAAUAUGAAAUAAUCUAAAUAUUUUUGUGUGCAUUAUGUACUGAUAUAAAAAUUAGUCCUGUAAAAUUUACUCUCUCGGGCGAGUUGCUGGCAGCAUUUACAAACAAAUUUUGGUUAUUAAAUUUUUCGUUAACUUGCUAGUAAACUUAGUUAGUCGGCCCUCUGCCUGUUGUAUAAUUUAUUAAAUUUUUUAGUAAA